GGAUGUGGCUCAAGUGGUAGAGCACUCGCCUGGCAUGCGUGCAACCGGGGUUCCAUCCUCAGCAUCACA
rnacentral:tRNA from 1 species